rnacentral:tRNA from 1 species
CCUGGUAGCUCAGCCGGUAAAGAAUCUGCCUGCAAUGCAGGAGACCCAGGUUUGAUUCCUGGGUCAGGA